UCCUAGAAAUGCGGUCUCGGGAACUGCAGCUUCCGGUAUGUAGACGUUCUUAACAACGUCACAUCCGCACCAGGGUCCCAGUUUUCCCGGGAGCAGCUGAUCGAUCAGUUUUCGUCCUGAAGACGUUUGAAGCACGUGUGUGUCAAUGAUGCAGAGAACUGCAGAAAUGAAGCCAGGCCGGGUUCUACCCAGACCUCCUGACUGACACCUGGUCCUCACGUUGGAGUUCGACUAAACUAAAGAAAAAUCCAGGUUUUCAGGACCUUCCUGGAUUGUCGACAGAAGAUGGUGACUGAGCGUCGUUGGAUGACGUCUGGACUUUUGACGAUGAAGUGAAACACAGAAAUAUCCAGAGCUGAGGCCGGUCAUCCUGUGGAGGUUUCUCACAUGUGCACGAUGUCACAGAUUGUAUAACUAUUGUAAAAGCAGAAGCACCAUAGAAACAAUGAGUGAAGAAUCAAUGCGGAACAAAGAGAGAGAUUGAGAUUUUACAAUCGUUGAAUUGAAAUCUGUGCGAGACGUAUUUUACCGUAUGCAAUAAAAACAAGGUUUACGAAUUUUAGCCUUUUGUCACCGAAGCAUUUAUUAUUUGUCUUUACUCAAAGAAAUCAUGACACACUGCCGAAAUAAAAUAUCUGAACUCA